GACCAAACGAGACCCCCAUUCACGGCUGUCAAUGUUUAAUUUUGAGAUUGCUGGUUUUAAUUUGGCACACAGCAGGUCUCAGCCACGGAGCAGAAGUCUGUGCAGGGAACUCAGGACCGGCUGGCAUCUGCUGUGCCUCAGCUCCGGCUGCUGGAAACUGAAACGCGGUAAGAGACCUUUGCGGCUUUGGAAGACCUGGAGUUUAACUCCUGCACUGUGACAUAUUCAAGAUGUCCUUGGAAAGUCAUCACUUCUUCCUGGGACACCUGACACUUCUGGGCACCCUAACGCAGACCUGAGAUCAUUGAUGAACAAUUUCUGCCUGAAAUGAAUUGCCUUCGACUUCUGUUGCUCCUGGAAGGAGGACACCAGGCAUGCCACAGGCUGCGGACCAGAAAAUG